rnacentral:rRNA from 1 species
GGUCAAGCUACAAAGGGCUAACGGUGGAUACCUAGGCACACAGAGGCGAAGAAGGACGCGGUUACCGGCGAUACGCCACGAGGAGCUGGAAGCAAGCAAUGAGUCGUGGAUUUCCGAAUGGGGCAACCCUUAGUACAGCUACCUGAAUAUAUAGGGUAGUAUGAGCCAACCCAGCGAAUUGAAACAUCUUAGUAGCUGGAGGAAGAGAAAGCAAACGCGAUUCCCCUAGUAGCGGCGAGCGAAGCGGGAGAAGCCUAAACCAGAGGUUAAUACUUUUGGGGUUGUGGGACAGCGAGAUAGAAUCGAGCGGCUAGACGAAGUAGUUGAAAGCUACACCAGAGGAGGUGAAAGUCCUGUAGUCGAAAGUUUAACGAUAUUAGCUGAAUCCCGAGUAGGUCGGAGCACGUGAAAUUCCGAUUGAAUCAUCGAGGACCACCUCGAAAGGCUAAAUACUCCUGUGUGACCGAUAGCGAAAGAGUACCGCGAGGGAAAGGUGAAAAGAACCCCGGGAGGGGAGUGAAAUAGAACAUGAAACCGUUAGCCUACAAGCAAUCGAAGGGUGAUUAAACGCCUGACGGUGUGCCUGUUGAAGAAUGAGCCGGCGACUUAUAGGGACUGGUAGAUUAAGGCGGGAAUGCCGAAGUCAAAGCGAAAGCGAGUCUGAAUAGGGCGAUGAUCAGUUUUUAUAGACCCGAACCCCGGUGAUCUAACCAUGGGCAGGAUGAAGCUUGGGUAAAGCCAAGUGGAGGUCCGAACCGACUGAUGUUGAAAAAUCAGCGGAUGACCUGUGGUUAGGGGUGAAAUGCCAAUCGAACCGGGAGCUAGCUGGUUCUCCCCGAAAUGUGUUGAGGCGCAGCGGUAUGGAUUAUAGCAAGGGGGUAAAGCACUGUUUCGGUGCGGGCUGCGAGAGCGGUACCAAAUCGAGACAAACUCUGAAUACCUUGUGGACACCAUGCCAGUGAGACGGUGGGGGAUAAGCUUCAUCGUCAAGAGGGAAACAGCCCAGACCAUCAGCUAAGGUCCCGAAAUCACAUCUCAGUGAUAAAGGAGGUGGGAAUGCAAAGACAACCAGGAGGUUUGCCUAGAAGCAGCCAACCUUAAAAGAGUGCGUAAUAGCUCACUGGUCAAGCGUUCCUGCGCCGAAAAUGAACGGGGCUAAGAUGUGUACCGAAGCUAUGGACUUGAAUUUAUUCAAGUGGUAGGGGAGCGUUCUGUGGUAGUGAGAAGCCGUAGCGGCAAGCAGCGGUGGACGAAGCAGAAGUGAGAAUGUCGGCUUGAGUAGCGCAAACAUUGGUGAGAAUCCAAUGCCCUGAAAUCCUAAGGGUUCCUCCGGAAGGCUCGUCCGCGGAGGGUUAGUCGGGACCUAAGGCGAGGCGGAAACGCGUAGUCGAUGGCGAAUCGGUCAACAUUCCGAUACCGAUUUAUUGUUGUGCAGAGGGACGGAGAAGGCUAGCACAGCCGCAUGAUGGUUAGCGGUUCAAGUGUUCGAGGCGAUGAGAGACGGAGAAAACGUUUUGAGCUGAGGCAUGAGUACGAGGGGAUACGUCCUCGAAGUGUGUGAUGUCAAGCUUCCAAGAAAAGCUCUAACCACGUUAACGAUAAAUUGCCCGUACUCUAAACCGACACAGGUGGGAUGGUUGAGAAUACUAAAGGGCGCGAGAUAACUCUCUCUAAGGAACUCGGCAAAAUGACCCCGUAACUUCGGGAGAAGGGGUGCCACCGCGAGGUGGUCGCAGUGAAGAGUCCCAGGCGACUGUUUACCAAAAACACAGGUCUCCGCGAAGUCGCAAGACGAAGUAUGGGGGCUGACGCCUGCCCAGUGCCGGAAGGUUAAGGAAGUUGGUCAGGGGAGCGAUCCUUGAAGCUAACGACUGAAGCCCCGGUGAACGGCGGCCGUAACUAUAACGGUCCUAAGGUAGCGAAAUUCCUUGUCAGGUAAGUUCUGACCCGCACGAAAGGCGUAACGAUCUGGGAGCUGUCUCGGAGAGAGGCUCGGCGAAAUAGGAUUGUCUGUGAAGAUACGGACUCCCUGCACCUGGACAGAAAGACCCUAUGAAGCUUUACUGUAGCCUGAUAUUGGGUUCGGGCUUUGACUGCGCAGGAUAGGUGGGAGGCUAAGAAGUGAUUCUUGUGGGGAUCAUGGAGCCAUCGGUGAGAUACCACUCUGUCAGAGCUAGAAUUCUAACCUUUACCCGUAAUCCGGGGAAGGAACCGUAUCAGGUGGGCAGUUUGACUGGGGCGGUCGCCUCCUAAAAGGUAACGGAGGCGCACAAAGGUUUCCUCAGACUGGUUGGAAAUCAGUCGAAGAGUGUAAAGGCAUAAGGAAGCUUGAUUGCGAGAGUGACAGCUCAAGCAAGGUGGAAACACGGUCUUAGUGAUCCGACGGCACUGCGUGGAAGGGCCGUCGCUCAACGGAUAAAAGUUACUCUAGGGAUAACAGGCUGAA